UUCCAGCUCCAAUAGCGUAUAUUAAAGUUGUUGCAGUUAAAAAGCUCGUAGUUGAAUUUCUGUUUAGAGAGUCUCAUGCAACUUCGGUUCGCAUUGUGGAUUAUUCUAAACAUUUUUCCAAAACGCGCGGUGCACUUAAUUGUGUGGCGUUGUGUUUGGAUCUUUUACUUUGAGAAAAUUAGAGUGUUUCAAGCAAGCAUACGCUUUGAAUACUGCAGCAUGGAAUAAUGUAAUAAGACUUCGGUUUUAUUUGUUGGUUUCUAAGACUGAAGUAAUGAUUGAUAGGGACAGUUAGGGGCAUUCGUAUUUAACUGUCAGAGGUGAAAUUCUUGGAUUUGUUAAAGACGAACUACUGCGAAAGCAUUUGCCAGGGAUGUUUUCAUCG
rnacentral:rRNA from 1 species